UUGCGGAAGAUUACUCAUCAGUUGAUGG
rnacentral:sRNA from 1 species